GGCUUUGCCUCCGAGCACCCCCGAGAGCGCGGCAGACUCCCCGGGGCGCCCCGAAGAACUGGCGAGCCUUUCAAGGGAAAGAAGGUUUGCAGGCUCUCCCCAGGCCGAGGGAAAAAGAAGAGAGCGAAAGAGGAAACAGGCCUGGGGGGAGGAGAGUGAAAGCCCCGUGGAAGAGACGAGGAGGAAGAAGAGGGCAGAAGUUUCUGGGGCUGGACCAAAGAGAAGAGGCAGGAGGGUGCAGGAGGCCAGGAGGCCCACGUGGAAGAGACGAGGAGGAAGAAGAGGGCAGAAGUUUCUGGGGCUGGACCAAAGAGAAGAGGCAGGAGGGUGCAGGAGGCCAGGAGGCCCAGGUGCCGAUUCAUUUUCCCUGGCUGAAGCGCUGUGAGUCCUGGGCCCCCGCAGCUGUUGUCCACAAAUAAAAUGAUCUUUUGUCUCUUCGGACUGUGCCUCCUGCCGUGGGAUAUUCGGGAGUGGGGAGCUGUGGUCUGGGGAUGAAUUGUCAGGGAGGAGUCUGGGAUCGUCCCUUGUCCCAGCACCCUUUGCAGCAGGCAUCAGGGCCGAGUGGAGGCGCUUUAGGAGGG